AAACCAACCGGGAUUGCCUCAGUAACGGCGAGUGAAGCGGCAAGAGCUCAAAUUUGAAAUCUGGCCCCUCCGGGGUCCGAGUUGUAAUUUGCAGAGGAUGCUUCGGGUGCGGCCCCUGUCUAAGUGCCCUGGAACGGGCCGUCAGAGAGGGUGAGAAUCCCGUCUUGGGCAGGGUGCCCGUGCCCGUGUGAAGCUCCUUCGACGAGUCGAGUUGUUUGGGAAUGCAGCUCAAAAUGGGUGGUAAAUUUCAUCUAAAGCUAAAUACCGGCCGGAGACCGAUAGCGCACAAGUAGAGUGAUCGAAAGAUGAAAAGCACUUUGAAAAGAGAGUUAAACAGCACGUGAAAUUGUUGAAAGGGAAGCGCUUGCAACCAGACUCGGCCUCGGGGUUCAGCCAGCAUUCGUGCUGGUGUACUUCCCCGGGGCCGGGCCAGCGUCGGUUUGGGCGGCCGGUCAAAGGCCCCAGGAAUGUAUCGUCCUCCGGGACGUCUUAUAGCCUGGGGUGCAAUGCGGCCAGCCUGGACCGAGGAACGCGCUUCGGCACGGACGCUGGCGUAAUGGUCGCAAACGACCCGUCUUGA
rnacentral:rRNA from 1 species